AUUUGACUUUAUCCCAAAAUGACAUGGCAGCAUUAACGGGAGGCAAGGGUUUUCCUUUCCUGUUUCAACAUAUCCGUGAUGGAAUUAACAUCAGGCAAACCUGCAAUCUUAUUUUCAGCCUCUGUCGGUACAACAACAGGCUCGCAGAACAUAUUGUAUCCAUGCUUUUUACCUCCAUAGCCAAGUUGACUCCUGAGG